rnacentral:rRNA from 1 species
AGAACGAACGCUGGCGGCAGGCCUCAAACAUGCAAGUCUAGGGGGUGUAGCAAUACAUCACCGGCGGACGGGUGCGUAACGCGUGGGAAUAUACCUAUUGGUUCGGAACAACUGAGGGAAACUUCAGCUAAUACCGGAUACGUCCUAACGGAGAAAGAUUUAUCGCCAAUAGAUUAGCCCGCGUUCGAUUAGCUAGUUGGUGGGGUAACGGCCCACCAAGGCGACGAUCGAUAGCUGUUCUGAGAGGAAGAUCAGCCACACUGGGACUGAGACACGGCCCAGACUCCUACGGGAGGCAGCAGUUGGGAAUCUUGGACAAUGGGGGAAACCCUGAUCCAGCCAUGCCGCGUGAGUGAUGAAGGCCUUCGGGUUGUAAAACUCUUUCGCGCACGACGAUAAUGACGGUAGUGCGAGAAGAAGCUCCGGCUAACUUCGUGCCAGCAGCCGC